UGCAAGUCGAGCGGACAGAUGGGAGCUUGCUCCCUGAUGUUAGCGGCGGACGGGUGAGUAACACGUGGGUAACCUGCCUGUAAGACUGGGAUAACUCCGGGAAACCGGGGCUAAUACCGGAUGCUUGUUUGAACCGCAUGGUUCAAACAUAAAAGGUGGCUUCGGCUACCACUUACAGAUGGACCCGCGGCGCAUUAGCUAGUUGGUGAGGUAACGGCUCACCAAGGCAACGAUGCGUAGCCGACCUGAGAGGGUGAUCGGCCACACUGGGACUGAGACACGGCCCAGACUCCUACGGGAGGCAGCAGUAGGGAAUCUUCCGCAAUGGACGAAAGUCUGACGGAGCAACGCCGCGUGAGUGAUGAAGGUUUUCGGAUCGUAAAGCUCUGUUGUUAGGGAAGAACAAGUACCGUUCGAAUAGGGCGGUACCUUGACGGUACCUAACCAGAAAGCCACGGCUAACUACGUGCCAGCAGCCGCGGUAAUACGUAGGUGGCAAGCGUUGUCCGGAAUUAUUGGGCGUAAAGGGCUCGCAGGCGGUUUCUUAAGUCUGAUGUGAAAGCCCCCGGCUCAACCGGGGAGGGUCAUUGGAAACUGGGGAACUUGAGUGC
rnacentral:rRNA from 1 species